UACGGAGGGUGCGAGCGUUGUCCGGAAUCACUGGGCGUAAAGGGCGCGUAGGCGGCAUGCCAAGCGUGUGGUGAAAGCCCGGGGCUCAACCCCGGGUCGGCCGUGCGGACUGGCGUGCUCGAGCACUGUAGGGGCGGGUGGAAUUCCGGGUGUAGCGGUGGAAUGCGUAGAGAUCCGGAAGAACACCGGUGGCGAAGGCGGCCCGCUGGGCAGGAAGGCUCGCAAGAGCCGGCUGACGCUGAGGCGCGACAGCGUGGGGAGCAAACAGG
rnacentral:rRNA from 1 species